UUUGAGGCAAAAUGUGAUCGGAGGGUGACGAAAGCCGUCAUGGGUAUUGUAGCGCCGGUCACAAGUAUUCCGAAACUGCACUAAGUAGAGUGGCGACCUAACAUAAUCAUGUUUUUACACUGUCGACCUUGCACGUUUAACAAAUGCCGAGGCGCCCGUUAAGUCAUAUGGGCCAUAAGUAUUGCUUAUAUUUCAGGCUACACUCUUAGAAAUAUUUUUUUCGAACCACAAGGUUCCAUUUCUGUUAAAAAUAUUUCGUUUUUACUAAUCACACCAGGCAAACAUGCUUCGUGUUCUGUACGGGAUGUUCAUUUUUUAUUAUCGUAACCGUAGAAAAUGCGCAAAUACAUCAAGAGUUACUGUACCCCAUCUUAAAAUUCAUUCGCCGUGUGAGCAAGACUUAACUACACACGAAAACAGCUGCUACAGUGGAAAAAAGGGGUCCAAAAGCACGCUGUUUGACGGUACUUGUGUGGCUUGUGACUCGGAAGUGGUGACUGGAGCAAUUCGUUAGAGGGGCUGGUGCUGCUCCAUAAAGGUGUCGUGUGACCAUUCCAUUGGACAUCUUCACCUUGUAGCAAUGUGUGGGUGAUGGAAGAGAGCUCCAUCUGUCCAAGCUACUGAAUGACAUAAACAGAUUAAAAACAACUCCUCUGUAUUUUACACCCAAUGUUUUUUGUAUACAACUUCAAUUACAAUGAUGAGUGAACAGAAAUUGUAGCUCAUCACUAACAAUUACAACAUAGAAGUGUCUUGCCUUGAAAUUAGCAACUAAACAAAUGAAAAUCCUUUUAAUUAUUUUUCAGUUGCUUUUUCUCACUUAUAUUCUUGUGUAUGCCCUCCGAGAGCGUGCACAAUAGGACGUUCUACACUUAAUAACUACCUAAAACAUAUUUUCAUUUCUCACGAACAUCUUUCGUCAGCCUUAGAGGAUAAGAG